ACCCCCCCCCCAAAAAAAAAAAAAUUAUUAUUUUUUCUUUUUUUUGAAAGAUCAUCUAUUAAAUGACCACCCACCCACAUUAUACCCCCCUCUCCAUGAUGGCUUACGUUAUACUGUCAAGCACUCGAAUAGUCUAGUGGCUGUCUUCUGACAGCUCUUGUUAUGCCUCCUGGCAGGGUGGCAUAUAGCAGUCGCACUGUCAGUCGUCUGUCCAGCAUUCUGUUUUCCAGCAUUUUUUUUAUGCAACGCUUUCAGAUAUUUAGCUGAAUUUUGGCAUGUGAGUCUACCUACUUAACAUACAGAUGAAGUGUGAGUUUCAUUCUGGUCCAUUGAAUUUUGGCGAAGGUUUGGGUCUGGGACUUAAUAAUUUAGUAAGGGGUAUUGUGCUUCACAAACAUGUCACGUUAAUUCAUGAUUUAUUAUUUAAAAUCAAGUUACUAGCAAUUAAGAUAUUGUUGGUAAAAGUGACAUAAUUAAUUGAUUGUUGUCAUGAGGGUGGUAAUUAAUAUAUCUCAUCUUAAGGAGCAAGUCCGAGAAGUAUUAUACAGUUUAGUUAAGUUUGUCAAUUGUAAACAACAACAAAGAGUGCUGUGUGUAUUUCUAGUUAUUUUUCAUGGUGUUUUAUGUUUAUAUUUUGUACUUGGUCUGAGUAUAUGCAUGAAUAGACCAUAGGAUUGUGAAAGAAAUUAUGCCUUCAUCAAAAAGACUCUGUGAAACCUGUAAAACAGACAAAUAUGAAAAAAAUAAUGUGAGCUUAGUAAGACUCAGACACUGUCUGACAAGAAAUUUGAAAAGUUCACAUGUAACAGGCAUGCCUUGUUAUGCCCAUUUCGAAGAAGAAGGGGUAUAUUUUUUUGCUUGCUGUCUGUCUGUAGACCAGUCUGAUUGUCUAUACAACAGUUCGUUUCCGAUCAAUAAUUCGUCAACUGUUUGGCUUGAUACUUCACAUGUGCAUUGUCCUUGGACAUUACAUGACCCCUAUUGAAAUUGGGGUAACUAGGUCACUUAGUGUGAAAAUCAUUUCCAAUCAAUAACUCGUCAACGAAUUGACCGAUUUGCUUGAUACUUCACAUGCGCAUUGGCCUUGGACAGUAGAUAACCCCUCUUUAAAUUGGGGUCACUAGGUCAAGGGUCAAGGUCACUAUCACACUUAGUGUGAAAAUUGUUUCCGAUCAAUAACUCAUCAAUGAAUAGACCGAUUAUCUUGAUACUUCACAUGGGCAUUGGCCUUGGACAGUAGAUGACCCCUAUUGAAAUUGGAGUCACUAGUUCAAAGCCUGGUCACUGUAAGAUCUACUAGGUCAAGGUCACUAUCACACUAAGUGUGAUAAUUGUUUCCGAUCAAUAACUCGUCAACGAAUUGGCUUGAUACUUCACAUGUGCAGUAUCAAUGAAAAUUGUUUCUGAUAAAUAACUCGUCAAUGAAUUGACCGCUCAGCUUGAUACUUCCCAUGUGUGUUGGCCUUGGACAGUAGAUGACCCCUAUUGAAAUUCAGGUCACUAUGUUAAAGGUCAAGGUCACUGUCACAAUAAGUGUGAAAAUUGUUUUCGAUCAAUAUCUCAUCAACAAAUUGACCGAUUGGCUUUAUACCUCACGUGGGCAUUGGCCUUGUACAGUAGAUGACCCCUAUUGAAAUUGAAGUCACUAGUUCAAAGCCCUGUUUGGAGGGGCAUAUGUCGCCGACCGCGGAAGACUUGUUGACAGCAAUUUUCCUAAUCUUUUACAACAUUUCAAAAUAAUCAGACAUGUCGGACACGUCAUUCAAAUAUUGUUUUCAGUCUGCUAGAAGUGAAGGAAUAGUGCUUUGCACCCGUCUGCUGUUCAGUCAGUCAGAUAAUGGAUUAAUAGACAAUGUUGAUUUCGAGCUAAAAUGUUGUGAGCUUAUUAACCUUUGAAUAUAGGUAUAUCAGUAGAAAGGCUAUAGGAGGAAAAGAAGGCACUCAUGAGUUGGAGGUCAAAGGUCAAGGUCACAGUCUAAAUUAUCAAUUUUCAAUUCCCAUAAUUACAUAACCCUUAUGUUAUUUAAAUUAUGGUAAAAAACUUAUGAUACAUUCCUUAUUGUAGAUAUGUCAUGUAUGUGUGCUGUUAAUGCUCAAGAAUUAUAAUGACUGCCUAAGGCUAAAAUUGUUUCAGGUCAGUUACAGUAGGGGGCUUACAUGUUUUAUGACUAUGUUUGGUUUAUUUUAUUGUUGCAUGAAUGCUUUUUAGUGUGUCUGUUUUUCCCAUUUACAGAUCAUUAAAGCUUACUGCAUUUUAUUGCAUUAAACAUGAAAAAUCGAA